GACGAACGCUGGCGGCGUGCCUAACACAUGCAAGUCAACUUGAGGGAAGGAGCAAUCUGACCUGAUGGUGGCGCAAGGGUGCGUAACGCGUAAGUAACUUGCCCCAAGGUAAGGAAUAACGUCGAGAAAUCGGCGCUAAUACCUCAUAAUGCAGCGGAUCCGCAUGGAUAUGUUGUUAAAGGUUUACCGCCUUGGGAUAGGCUUGCGUCUGAUUAGCUAGUUGGUGUGGUAAUGGCACACCAAGGCUACGAUCAGUAACUGGUCUGAGAGGAUGAUCAGUCACACUGGAACUGAGACACGGUCCAGAUCCUACGGGAGGCAGCAGUGGAG
rnacentral:rRNA from 1 species